rnacentral:piRNA from 1 species
UUNCAGCUUUUUGGUCAAUGCCUGGGAUC